AGUCACUGACAUUAGAUACCCGGGUAGUCCAGGGUGUAAACGCUGCAGACUUGGUGUUGGAAGUCCUUUGGGGGCAUUCAGUGCCGGAGAGAAGUUGUUAAGUCUGCUACUUGGGAGUACGUCCGCAAGGAUGAAACUUAACGGAAUUGGCGGGGGAGCACCGCAACGGGAGGAGCGUGCGGUUUAAUUGGACUCAACGCCGGAAAUCUCACCGGAUAGGACAGACAUAUGAUAGUCGGGCUGAAGACUCUACUUGAUGAUCUG
rnacentral:rRNA from 1 species